AUCUGGUUUGAACGCAAGAGGGGGUGUUGAAGUUGUUGUUGUCCCACAUUGGUUGUGAAUGGGUCUUGUAUGCUCUGUAUAUUCAUAUAGUCUCCCUCCACCUAUUAGCUUAAACUUUUGGAUUGGACUUUUUGACAUGAGAAUUAUUUAAACAUUUGAAA